rnacentral:rRNA from 1 species
UGGUCAAGUUAUUAAGGGUGCAGGGCGGAUGCCUUGGCACUAGGAGCCGAUGAAGGACGUGAUAAGCUGCGAUAAGCUUCGGGGAGUUGCACGUAAACUU